rnacentral:rRNA from 1 species
AGAGUGAACGCUGGCGGCAGGCCUAACACAUGCAAGUCGAGCGGCAGCGCGGGGGCAACCCUGGCGGCGAGCGGCGGACGGGUGAGGAAUACAUCGGAAUCUGCCUUGUUGUGGGGGAUAACGUAGGGAAACUUACGCUAAUACCGCAUAAGACCUGAGGGUGAAAGCGGGGGACCGCAAGGGCCUCGCGCGACAAGAUGAGCCGAUGUCCGAUUAGCUAGUUGGUGAGGUAAAGGCUCACCAAGGCGACGAUCGGUAGCUGGUCUGAGAGGAUGAUCAGCCACACUGGAACUGAGACACGGUCCAGACUCCUACGGGAGGCAGCAGUGGGGAAUAGUUGGACAAUGGGGGCAACCCGUGAUCCAGCCAUGCCGCGUGUGUGGAAGAAGGCCUUCGGGUUGUAAAGUCUACGUUUUUGUUACGGAAGUAAAUCUCAACGUAUUAAUACGUACGGAGGAUGACGGUACCGGAAGAA